CGCGUGCCCAGGGAGCAGUCCUCAGAGAUCGUCUGGUUAAAGGCUGAGACCCUCGCCACCAGAGGAUAGGAGGGUAGCCCAGUGAUGCGGCGGGAGACUUUAGGUGGCUCGUGCCUCGCUGGCCUCCAGCCUAUGAACACCCACCCACCACGCGUCCCCAGCACCGCAGGGAAGCCAUCGGACGCGUUAACCUUUCCGUGGCCAUUUCAAGCGAGGCGAGGGGCCAAGCGUCUACAACUCUUGUCUUCCCUGCACCUGGUAGGCGUGUCACUCUCCAGCAGCGGGGCGUGCCCUGCGCGUGCCUUCUCUCUUCUCCACGCCCCCACCCCCAGCCCCGGCUCGUGCUAGCCGGGACUAGAGGUCCGAAGGGGAGGUAGGGGGCGUGGUUCUCCAAGUAGGGGUGGGGGUGCGCCCUCAGCUGUAUGAUAAUGAAGUCCUGGCCUCUCCCUCAGUGCCUACCUCACCUGGGUCACGCUUGGGCUCCGUCGCCUAUCCCGGCCCCGACCCGUGUCCCCUAGCUCCACUGGGGUUAGGGAGGAACUGUCCUAACUCCGGAGUUUCCACGGGCCACUAGAGACGCCAGAUAGUCAAGGACCAAACAAAAGUUGGGAUCACUGUUUUCCUCAGCAUGGACAAUGUGAGCCAUCCAACCUAGAAGACUUCUGACCCAGACAGGAAAGCGUUACGUUUUCCUCUUCACCAGAGAACCUAUUCAUAAUGUGCCCGCGGUUCUUCCCUGGCCAGGGCACCGCUCUUAGCCUCGGGCCCCAUCGGCUGGGGUCAGUUGCUAGGUCUGAAUGUGUAGGGGAUGGUUCUCCAGCACAGUUGGAGCCCUUCUCUCCCACUCCCUCGUUAUGAGCAAAAAACGCGACUCAGGUGGAAGAAAGGCAACACUGUCCUGGUCACUCGAGGGAACGAAAGACCGUGAGGCAGAGGAUGCAGUGGACCUCGUUUCUAGUCAGGGCCUGCUGACUCUGACCCUGAUAUAGACACUCCGACAUGAGUCCCCAUAAACUGAAGCCCUUUCUUGGGUCCACAGCUCCUCAACUCCACACCAUCCUCAACGUUUCCCAGCUCAGAGUCUGAGUACUGGAAGCCUGUGAAAGCCUUUCUCCCUAGAAGGUCUCUGCCUCUGCUGUUGCCUCCUCCUGGCCACUGUGCAUGCAUGCCACUUCUCAGUUUCUCCAAUUAUGCAGAACCAACCCCUGGAACUGAAAAAAAAAAAAGCCAAAGUUUUUUCA